UGGCAAACAUUUUGAUGAAAAUGAAUCAGAUGAAUCAGAUGAUGAUGAUGUAGGUGAUGAAGUUGGACCCAGAAAGAGAACAAAGAUAUGACCUCUGUCUGCAUUUCAAUGUGUUGAUGUUCAAAACUUACUUCGAGUUUGGACCAAAAGGUGAGCGGCUUUACUACGAUGUUGAAAAUUGACUUUGAUCUUACAUGGUAGAUAUAACUGAGUUAGUAUAUAAGUAGGCUGUUUGCUCAUGCCUCAUUUGUUUUUAUCUUGCAGAUUAUUGAGUGAGUCAUCUUCCACUGGGAAGAGAUUAUAAAUGUUCGUUUUUGUAUCGAUGACAGCUGAUAGUUGGAUGCCACAUCUAAGUAAUCAAGGCAUCGGUCUGAUUAACUAUGCGUGAAUUAUUGAACACAAAACCACCAUGUACCCAUGUUGUUGGUGGCGAACAUGAAUAAUGCAAAAAUCGGGAUGGCCAUGUUGAGAAAGGGGAACCCAUCUCUGUUUGGAUAUCUAUUGCCCAUAUCCAAUUUCUUCACCCCCAAUAUGUUUCUAAGAUUCUUUUUUUGUUUUUAGAAAUGCAAAGUGUGUAACCUUUCUGAAUAGAAUGUGAGUGAAUUUGAGUCUGACGAUAGG